rnacentral:piRNA from 1 species
CACUUGAACCGGGCAGGCAGCGACUUG